ensembl:lncRNA
AUGAGGUUGUGGUCUCAAGCCAAGCAGGCCUUGUGCAAAAUACUUGCAGUUCCUUUGAUACAAUAACCAAUAUUUUCCCUUUGCAGAGCGAGAGUGCAUCUCCAUCCAUGUUGGUCAAGCUGGUGUCCUGCUGGGAGCUCUGGUGCCCAGUGCAGACAGAUGCCCAUCAGCAAGACCAUCGCAGGAGGAGACGACUCCUUCAACACUUUCUCCAGUGAGAGCGGAGCCAGAAAGCAUCUGGACCUGGAGCCCGCUGUCGAUGAGGUGGACAGGGGGACUUACUGCCGCCUGUUCCACCCUGAGCAGCUGAUCACUGCUUAGGAGGAUGCUGCUAACAAUUAAGCCUGUGGAAACAAUAUCACAGGCGUAGUGCUGGACAGGAUUCCCAAGCUGUCAGACCAGCUCCAGAGGUGGGACCGGCUUCACCUCUCCCCUGAUGGAGCAUCUGUCUGUCGACUACAUCCUAAGGAACUACAGUCCAGCAUGGGGCUUCUGAGGCACAGAUAGACGGCCUUGUAUCUAAUUAUAUCAUUCCAAAAAGGCUUUGGUCCCUGGAUCCUUUGAUUGAAUGGACCUUUUGAGAAAAGACCACCAACCUGCCUGGGCUCCAUCAUGUAGCAACUGGUUUAGUGCACCAUCAGCAUCAGGAACGGACACAACAUCUGGAAAAAUAUAAUGGUGUUGUCAUGGUGCAGGGGUAGAAAGGGUGCACUGGGAACUGCAAGGUUGGUGGUUUGAGUCCCAGCUGCCCAAAGUGUCCCUGAACAAGACACCUAACCCCUAAUUGCUCCCUGG